rnacentral:lncRNA from 1 species
GAGGGAAGCCAAGUGGAUUCUCAGAAAAAGGGGGGAAGCCAUCAAAGAGCUAAAGGUGAUUAGAGGGGGAUAUCGAUUCCUUACUCUGCCAGAGGUUUAAGCAGGCAUGAGAGGAAUCUGUACCAUGGCUGGCAGAAAGAGACCCAUUGCCUCUUGUAACCAGACACUGGGGCUUUCCAGGAGCCCAGGGAGAGAGCCGAGAAGAAAGGGGGCAGUGUGGUCUAGGAAAAUUCAACUUGUCGCUGAUUUGUGCCUGAUGCUUGCUGUCCGUCAGCAGCCUCCCUUACAAGCCUUUUUUCCUCUCUCUCCUUUUUUUCUCCCCUUGCCUUCUUCUUCAGUGAAGCCUAGGGGAGCCAGUAAAGAUUAAAUGUGCUUUCUCAAAGGCAGCCACUUCAUGCUGCUAUGUCGAAAGGGCUAUUAUUAUUAUUAAUAUGAGAGAGAGAGAGGGAGAGAGAGAGGGAGAGAGAGAGACUAGGUAUGGUGAUGACGGUCUGGCUUUUCGGAGAGCAAAAGGGAGAGAAAAAAGGAGAGACCAUGAGCUGAACCAAGGACUGUGUAUGAGCUGAACCUACAGAGUCUGCACAGGAAAGCGCCGCUUCCAGGCAGAGGAGGUUCGAGAAAGCGACUCUAUCAGGUACAGCACUAGUAGCUGUCUGUGAAGAUGGAGGGGGAUUACGCCUCGGAUUCUUCUGAAAUAUUGGCCAAAGGCUUCAAAGGAUCCGCAGCGGGAGGCGAGGGUGGGGGAGCAUCUCCCCAGCUCGCACCCACCCCUUCCCACUUUGCGUCUACCAAAUGACAGGCUGGUGCUCGCUCUGGGUGAUUUUGGCCUUGGCCUCAGCCAAGCAGCUGAUGCAGAGGAGGGCCAGCUUUGCAAGACUGACAGAACUCUGAAUGCUAGAGAAAGAAGAAGAAAAAGAAAAAGAAUUUUUUUUUUCCGAGCAGUCCUUGGGAGAUUUUCUCGUUCUCUCUCGAUUUAUUUAUUUAUUUCUAUUUUUUUUAACCGACUAUUUUCCAAAUUCGAUCAGCCCCAGCCCCUCCCUCCACUCCCACCCAACAGCCUUCCCCCCACCCCCCACCCCCGGUCAAAGCAUAAACCACAGAGUUACGGUCUUCUUUGGAUUUUGGAGUAUCGCUUCCUGCCCCCGCCUUCCCUCCCCGCCCCAUUCUCUGUCCUAUUGAACACCUCGCCCAGCCUAGAGCUCACAUUCUCCCCCUGCUCCCGAUGGCGCUCCUGGAAGCUCUGCAACUAUGCUCCACUUCAAAUGGCUGGUCCUAUAGCCCCCUUUCUCAGUAAUGUCUCCCCAGUGAAAGGAAAAAGACUGCAGAGGCUUCAGACUGACGGACGCUCAUGCCAACUGUGAAGUUGAAACAAAGCCAGUGACCAGCUGAAGAGGCCCCUCCUGCCCAGCAGCCACCCACAUGGUGCAGUUGCAGCCAGUAGUAAUCUUUGCAAGAAGCAGAGAAGCCCAGAACACUCAUGAGUCAAAACCAUGCCCUUCCUUGUGUGUAUCCCUGUCUCGUUCAGAUUGAUGCUCCUUCCAUUUGGAUCCUGGUAUGAAUAUGCUUGUUACUGUACGAGUGUAAAAAGCUUUGCCCAAAUGUGUUAAUGUAUGAAGAGACUGGAUUUUUUUUGGGGGGGGGAGAGAGUUAUUUUUAUCAAAACACAGUGUUCGUUCUUGAGAGUGAUCUAGAAAAUAAAAAGCAGUUGGAAAAGACAGCAAAGCAGUCACAGGCGAUCCACAGAGAUGCUCACACCACCACACAGAAACACCACACCAUGCUCCCAGACUCUGAGCAGGGAGCUUGACUCUGUGACAUACUAUGGCUGCUGCCAGGGGUCAACGUCAAGCCAGACAAAGGUGCAGAAGCUUCCUGAAGUGUAGUGAUAAACUGAGUCAGGAGACAAUAAGAACAGCAACGACACAAAAGACAACGUCCUUGGAGGGAGCCAAGUGGGUUUGCUUAAGGAAGGAUGCUCCCUUAAAGAGAGAAUGGGAAAUCAACCUUUAAAGGAUGUAAAAACAAAACUAGAUAAAUGGGAAGAUAGGAGAAAAUAGAGUCCUUAAUGCAAGCAUAAGGGUAAGCAGCAGACGGGCAGAGGAGAUCCACAUGGUGAGUCUUGGAGACUACACAUAUCUCGUCUUGAUUUUGCCUGACACUUGGAACCGCUGUCUGUGUGUCUAGUAGAGAUGCUGCACACAGGUAUCUCCCCUCCCCCACCCCGAAUGUCACCUAAACCAAACUAGAACUAAAGUUCCAGUUCUGUGUCACUACAAAGAUUGGUUGGUGAUUCCUGAAUAGAAGUCAUGAUUCUUCUGUUCGUGAUUGCUUGUUACCAAGUUUAUUCCAUACAGAAAAUGUUUUGCAUAUUAAAUCUCAUGGUUGCUAUGAAAACGACACAUUAUCCACCUUUCACAGGUGAAGGAACUGAUUUUGGUGAGGUUGAGCGCCUGGCCAAGGUGCUACGUGCAGCUAUGCACAUUCAAGGUUGUGGUCAUGAAACUCAGUCCCUAGUCUGACUUUUGUGAUGAGUCCCAACACAGUUGUCACCUUUACCAUAGCCCUUAAUGCCUGUCUACAGAAAGACAUGGCUUUUCUGCUGACUUACAGCCACAGUAUUUCCUACUUCCAUGCUGAAUUAUACCAGAAUGAUAAAACGUAUUUUCAUGGAAGAAAAUUGAGAAUUUAGUGAAAUACACUGCUUGCCAGCAGUUUGUAUGUUUCUUCUUCAUUUUGGUCUGAGACUUUUGAUUUAGUUCUGCAUGAAAUCUCAAAGUUUUAAGAGCAGUAAGGGAAGGGCCUUAAGUUACCUGUUAUAGUACUUUGUGACAGAAGAUGUAAAUCUACAACCUGUAAUCAGAGUGACUUUACAAACAAACAACAAAAAGACACCCCUCCCCACAAAAACUCAAAUCAAACCAACCAACCAAACAACAAAAUAAACAAAACCGCCCACUUAAUUGGAAAUGUCCCAACAAAGACCAGAAACUAAGUCCUCUUUCAAUGGCUUUUAAAUUAUUCCACCCUGUCCUAAAGAAACAUGAACUUGUAUUUGACUAAAGGCACCAAUGUUGCAUAGAUUGGAUCUCAUAAAAUCUAGUUUCUUCCUUCCUUGGUACUCAUGUCAAUGUUAAAUACAGCUAUGAACUAGUGUAUCUAUGUCAAGAAGUUGUCAAUGAUCUGUCCCCAAAGAACACAGAAUAGCCAAUGUUGUAUAUAUACUCCUUCUUUAAUCCAGCCAUGGAGUCAUUAGUUCACCUGCACCAAUCCAAUCCAUUGUGCAUCUUCUCAACCAACCUGACCUAUGGCAAUCAUUUGCAAGUGCUAUAAAUGUUUAUCUAUGACUGUUCCAGAAAUAGUUAGGUAUUAACAAAUACCACUAGUCAUUUUGUGGUGUAAUCUUCAUUUAUCUGUAUCACUAAUUCAAGAAGACUUUGGCCAUAAAAACCUAGAACUAAAAAUCGCAUUCUUGGCUUUCAGCCACUCUACAUUUGAUUGACAUUUCACAGUGAUUAAUAAAUUGUCCAUCUAAAUAACAUAGAUGUCCAGAUUGUGAUUUUUGUCUUGAAUGAGACCGUUAAACUGGGUAGGCUAAGGGACAGAUGUCUAACUUUUUGAGGUACCUGGAUAUUUAACUGAUGUAAUUUUCUACUUAGCUGUUUGACAUUGUUGUAUGUAGUCCUGGUCAUGGCUUUGACUGUUCUCUUUUUUCAAAAUGCUUGUUGGCUCUGUCUUACACUGUUCUCACUGAUCUCAUAAAUAAACAGGUUUGUUGUUAAAGAGUAGCCCAAGCACAAAGUGUGAUGUUGUUGACAUUUUACAAGACUUUCCUUGGUCCCUGACUCCCAAUAAAAGAAAUGUUGCAUUAACUGUGAA